GGCUGCCACGGGGCCUGCGCACUGUGCUGGGAGCUCUGCCAGCUCCUUGGGCCUCGGCUCCUAUCUCUGCUGCCCGGAGCCGCCAAGUCCACCCACCAACUACCUAGGCCAGCGCCAGCCACGGAGCCCGGUGCCCAGCGCACCAUGCCAGCCUCCCUCCCACAGCAGAGAUCAGGCUACGAGGGACAAGGGGUGAGUCCUGCCCGUGUCCGACUCUCCCAGAGGCCAGGGACACUUCUGAACACUUUCCCGUCUUAACGCCCCGAGUGACCACAGCAGUCCCCUGAAGAGGAGGCCCUUAGCUACAGUUUACAGGUCCCCAGGCCCGAGAGAAAUAGGGGCGUGGCAGGGGCCAGAGUGGGAUCCAAGUCGGGGACACACCGUCUGGCCCUAGCACCGUGCCUGUCCUGGCUGAGGAAAGGGACAGAAGAGCACAGCAGCUGAGAACUCAGACUCCAACCCCAACGACCUUCACGGGGCAAGCCUCCUCGCCCCAGUAUCCUCCUCUCAAAGGGGCACAGGUGCCACAUGCAGAGCCCAGCACCAGGCAGGGGCGGCCACAGGAACCUGGGGACCUUCCCACCCAGGCUGAGCCCCGGGGAACCCUGGAGAGUUAGGGGCAUAGAGUCUGCGAAGGUGUCUGGGCCCGGACCCUGCCAGGACAGGCCAGCAGAGAAGAGACCCUGUCCCCAGCACCUCCCUCGCCCCUGGCCCCUGGCUCUGGCAGCCCAGGCCUGGCUCCAGAAUGGGCAAGGCUCCCCCAGGGUCCCCGAGAGCUCCAGUGGGGCACGAGCUGGAGCAGCACCAAGCUCUCAGCUGACCUCGGGGGGAGCAGGGCCCGAGGCUGAGGCCAGCGCCUGCCCUCGCUGUUGAGAGGCCCCUUUGUGCCAGCCCUGCCCCACCCCCCACUUGCCAUCUGCCAGGUCCCUGGAGUCUGCUCCCCCUUGGCCGCUGGUUUGCUCACAUGAUGCCCCCAUCUGCUACCCUGCCCCGCACCCCUGCAACCUGGAAGCCAUCCCAUGGCCCCGACAUGGGCACAGCACCCAGCACCCUGCACCCACGCUCGGCUUUCACCCAGGAUACAGUGACCCCCACCGUGGCUCCUUCCCCGGCCCGUUCCCCGCUCCUGUCAUGCCGGGUCCUGCUAAGAGGGCCAUCCCUUGACACGUGGACCCUGCCACAGCUCGGCCACCUCCACCCCUUUCCCUCAGCUAAGAAGCGGUCCCCAGCAUGAGCCUCACCCUGACAGCCAGGCCCAGGCCACUGCGCAAGCCUGUCACCCGUCCCACUGGAUGGCAGCCUCAGUCCCCCCUGACCCAGCUGCCAGCCACCCUGCCCAGCCCUCCCGCCUCCUUCCCCUGCAGAGCAGACCAGGAGCUGCCCGCCGGGCAGCGAGUGCCUUCAAGUGGCCUGUGCCCGAUCUCCAGUGCCAUCUCCCUCCCCACGCCCUCUGGCUCUCUUCAUUCCCCAAACCUUGCCCCACUCCAGUGCCUCUGCCAGGAACACCCCUGCCCAGCCACAGCCCCCGCCGCCCUCCCCCUCCGGGCACCCGAGCCCAGCCAGGCCUUCCCAGAGCGCCGUGCUCCCGGCAGAGGCCUCCCCUCGCGCCAGGCUCGCCUCCCUCCCCCUCUCACCCCCUCGCUGUCUGUCUGUGACCCUGCUGGGGGGUGUGUGCCAGCCUGGCUGCCCACUGCCCAGAGCACAGGUUCCCCACACAGACCAACCUGGAGCCCGACUUCUGUCCCUGCUCUCAGGCACACCCUAGGCCCAUGGGCAGGACACCUCGGGUCACCCCACACACCCCCUUGGUAGCUAGGGCCACCAAGCCCAGGGGACCAGUAGGAAAGGUGUCCAUGGUGGUGUUUAGACCAAGGUGAAGCUACAUCCCAGGCCCUGGGGUCCCUGCUGCACAGGAGGCCAGGUCACGCAGGGAAGGGACAGCCACCCACAGGACUGCUGGCCUGGGCUCGGGAGACCCCUGCAGGAUGCGGCUCCCACUGACCAGCACCGCUGCUCCUCCCAGUCCAGGACCCCAAGAACCAACCCUCUGCCCUCGGGGACCUGCGGGGGCGCAGGGCUGGGCGGCCCAGGAGUUCCAAGAAGCCUUCUUUGCCUCAUCUAGCCCCGUGUCCCCAGGACAGCCCAGCUCACACAGAAGGCACUCAAUAAAUGUUCACGUAAACAAC